GAAAUUGUCGUCCUCGGCGGCCAGCAGCGCAGCGAUGAAGUCCUGGGGGAUGUCAUCGAAGGCGAUCGGGGUGCGGCGCAUUUCUCCGAAUUGUGCGAUCAGCUUGGCAUCGCUGCUGUAGACACGCAGCGGGAUCUGUAGCUGGAUGCUACGCAGGGAUUCGACGGAUGGAAGAGAGGGGCUCAGGUAAAGAAAAGCCCCGCUGAGGCUGAGCAACAGUCCGCAGAAAACAGCGAAACACGACCAAAGGAAAAACUUCAGGAAACGCAUUGGGGUUUUUGAAU
rnacentral:antisense_RNA from 1 species